AGAUUGAACGCUGGCGGCAUGCCUUACACAUGCAAGUCGAACGGUAGAGUAGCAAUACUUGAGAGUGGCGAACGGGUGAGUAAUAUAUCGGAACGUGCCCAGUCGUGGGGGGAUAACGUAGAGAAAUUUACGCUAAUACCGCAUACGAUCUAAGGAUGAAAGCGGGGGACCGUAAGGCCUCGCGCGAUUGGAGCGGCUGAUAUCAGAUUAGGUUGUUGGUGAGGUAAAAGCUCACCAAGCCGACGAUCUGUAGCUGGUUUGAGAGAACGACCAGCCACACUGGGACUGAGACACGGCCCAGACUCCUACGGGAGGCAGCAGUGGGGAAUUUGGACAAUGGGCGAAAGCCUGAUCCAGCAAUGACCGCGUGCAGGAAGAAGGCCUUCGGGUUGUAAACUGCUUUGUACGGAACGAAACGGUCUGCUUUAAUACAGUAGGCUAAUGACGGUACCGUAAGAAUAAGACACCGGCUAACUACGUGCCAGCACGCCGCGGUAA
rnacentral:rRNA from 1 species